rnacentral:rRNA from 1 species
AGUGAACGCUGGCGGCAGGCCUAACACAUGCAAGUCGAGCGGAAGAACAGAGAUAGCUCCUGCUUUCGGCGGCGGACGGGCGAGUAAUGCAUAGGAAUCUCGGAAUCAGUUUUUUCGAAGGUCCGAAAACAGGCACUCAUACCGCAUUACUCCUGAGGACGUACGGGGGAGAGCUUCGGACCUUCGGACAUCGGAUGAUCCAAUGACCCGAUGUCGGAUUAGCUAGUUGGCGGGGUAAAGGCCCACCAAGGCGACGAUCCGUAGCUGGUCUGAGAGGAUGAUCAGCCACACUGGAACUGAGACACGGUCCAGACUCCUACGGGAGGCAGCAGUGGGGAAUAUUGGACAAUGGGCGAAAGCCUGGUCCAGCCAUGCCGCGUGUGUGAAGAAGGUCUUCGGAUUGUAAAGCACUUUAAGUUGGGAGGAAGGGCAGUAAGUUAAUACCUUGCUGUUUUGACGGUACCAACAGAAUAAGCACCGGCUAACUUCGUG